ACUUAAAUUGAAGAGUUUGAUCAUGGCUCAGAUUGAACGCUGGCGGCAGGCCUAACACAUGCAAGUCGAGCGGUAGCACAGAGAGCUUGCUCUCGGGUGACGAGCGGCGGACGGGUGAGUAAUGUCUGGGAAACUGCCUGAUGGAGGGGGAUAACUACUGGAAACGGUAGCUAAUACCGCAUAAUGUCGCAAGACCAAAGU
rnacentral:rRNA from 1 species